rnacentral:lncRNA from 1 species
CACAUCUCUUCUUUUUGGGUGAUUCAAGGCAGUCCCGGACAUUGCACAUUUCAUGAUCUUCCAUGUGCAUUCUCAAGGCUUCUCUUGCACUCACUUUCAGCUUGCGCUUCUUGCUUCUUCAUUCCAACACUCCCCCUCAAGCUUGACCAUAUGAGAUCCUUGGACAAGCUUGGAACCUUGAAGAAGCUCCCUCAUUAAAAACCUUAGCAAGAAAACCCAUUGGGACAAAACUUGCUAAGGGAAAAAGAGUGGAGUUUCCACAAAGCUUAGGGAUUGGCCAGUGAGCCUAAGGAACUUCAGAUUCAUCAUGGUGGAGUCCUUAGGCUCUGG